CAUUUGUCUCAUAUGGUUUGAGCUGAUGCACAUUUACAGUGGGUUUACCUUCAAAUGUAAAUGUACUCAUUGCCAUUUCUACUUUUAGGUAAAGGACCAACUAUGUCUAUGGCGAUACAUUCCAGGGGACCGCCAUCUGUGGUGUAGUGGGUAUGGUGUCUGGCCGGAGAGCGGAAGGUCACAAGAUUGAUCCCCGGCCGCACCAUACCAACAGACGUUAAAAUAUGUCCCACCUCUCCCUCUGAGAACAUGGCAUACCCUUCAAUUGACAGCAU